UUUACAUAUGCCAAACUAACUUGAAUUGAUCUAAAAAUAUGUACACCAAGCUAAAUAAUUUGUAUGGCAGGUCAAAUGAAAAGUAUUUUGUUCGUUUUAGUUAUGCUACAUAUUUUAUUAAACAAAAAUUGAAAUUAUUUUUGUCAAACUUGUUAACAUGACUUCUACGGUUUUUGUAUAUCAUAUAUUUGAUAGACAAUAAUGAAAAUUUAAAUUGUAUAGAGUAAUUUGGUUCAUACGUAACAGGUUCGGUUUCAUAACUGUAGUUGUCACUUGUGUAAAUUAUUUGUACAUAAAGAAGAUCAAAAUUAUAUAAUGAAAUUUUGUAUUCAAGCAGGAAGUUACAAAUUAACAAUCAUGUAUAUAUUGGUUUCGACUCGGCAGCCAACAUUUGACCGAAGCAUAUUUGGUUUGGUAACAAAACACGUGGUUUAGGUUUAGUCGGUUUUGUAACAUAUACAUUAAGGUUAAGCCUUUAAAUUUAUUUGGCUGGUUUAGUAAUAAUGUUAUUAAAUGAAUGUUCUUAAAACUAGUGGCAUUAGAUUGUAAUUAUUAGGGAAAAAUCAAGGCUAAUUACUAACUGUACUUCAAUUUUAAUAGUUUAGAUAGUUAAUUUUUGUGACGUGAAAGAGCUAAAGUCACUUGUUAAUGGGAAGUACAUUUCAUUUUUAUCUUCGCUUUCAUGGCCCCCUUCUCACCAAUUGACAGGCAGCAAGCAACGUAGACCACAUGAUAUAUACAGUGUAUAUGCACACUAUGGCAUAUAGAAUCAUUGAUACGUCAAGCACAUUCCGUACAGUACGGACUUGGAAACUGGACCUUUAGGCUCAGCAAUCUCCAACCCGAGAACCACACUAAAAUUUUUAGUGUAAUUUCAAAACUAAAAAAAAAAAUUCUUCUCCAACGACUAACACUAAACUUUACACUAAAAACUAUUUUAUAUUAAUGUAUACAUUAUAAUUUUAUUUGUCAUUUAUUUAAUUGUGUAUUUUAUUAAUAAAAUAAAUGAAUGUUGUUUUAGUUGAAUGAAUAGUAUUUUAGUGUGGUGAAUAAUGUCACACUAAAUUUGGUGUGAAAUUAUAUUGUUGCACUAAAAUAGUGUGAUUUUUAGUGUUGGAUUGGAGAAAGUUUUAGUAUAAAAAUCACUCUAAAAUAGAGUUUUAGUGUUGGAUUGGAUAAGGUAAAUAGAACUGAGGCGGAAAUCUAUAAUAUAAUGAGGCAGUUGCAUCAUUCCUGGGGCGACACGUCAGCGGUCUGUGGGUCCCACUUUUAAAAAGUGUGAAAAAAACGUCAAGACUGUGGCUCGAACCCGGGUUAUUGAAAUAUAAACAUCACCAUUUAUACCACUAAACUAAAUGAUACUUUGUACAUUGCUGGCCGAAACCAAUAUAUAUUUAUGAUAGGAGAGUUUACUCUGUACACAUAUGAUUUCGGUUUAAGUUCCAUAAAAAGCCCAAGUCGGGUGUAAGGCCAUUCGGCCAAUGUUUAGUUAUAUGGCCUAUUUUGAAAAAAAGUCUGACGUUUUAUGUUUUUGUCGAGGAAAGUGUGCCAUUUUUUAUUCGUUAAACGAGUAACGAUUAGGUUUUCAGAUGUUUCUUCUCCUUCGACCCUUCAAUCUCACCAGCCCUGCUGCUUUUCCUAAUCCUGCGAAAAAACGAGUCUUAAUCAACUCUUUACCUUCCAACUCUUUUCAUAUCUAUUAAUUCUUUUCACUGUAUUCAACGUAUACCUCUUAAAUUUUACAAUAAAUGUUUUUUUUUUCAUUAAAGCCAUUUACGAUCUUAAACUCUCCUUCUCCCUUCUGAUACAAUGAAACCGAAAAAUUCACUUCAACCUCUAUAAAUUGGAGAAGGUUGAUAGCCGGAUGGAUCUUCACAGACGCUCUCAGUUUAUCUUCUAUCUUUAAUUGGAGAGGGAGCUGCUCAUCCUCGACGAACAGAUAAUGAGUAAACAGCGCCCAAUAGACCUCCACAACCUGAUGUAGAUGAUUGGAGGCCACUGAAGAAGAAGAAGCCUGCAACAAUGUCAGAGGAUGCUAAAGCAUUGAGCAUGAUUAGACAAAUGUUCAAGCACUGCUUCUAACUUUUCUCCUACGCUCACACCCAUUACAUUUUCAUUAGUUUUUUUCUCAUGCACUUAUGAGUUUUGUAUUGUUUUAAUGUCAGUACUGAUCGUUAUGUUGGACAUGGCUAUGAUAACCGAGACCUGGAAGCCUGCUUUGAUGAUAUCAUGAAGGAAGAGAGACGAGGUGCGAGAAUCGCAAGGGAGGAAGAUAAAAUGGAAGCAAAGCUGAUCGCAAAAGAAGAAGAGCGAGAGAGACAGAGAAAGUUGCUGAAGCUGGGGCGUAAGAAAGUUAGAAGAAACAAACCUUUUGAUCAUCUUUGUCUUCUUUUUUAAAUAUAUGACAAGUUUAAUCUUUAGUGCUUCUCUCAUUCAAAUCUCUUUGGAGAAUAGUGUGUUCUUGAAACUGUACAAUUAGAUAAUAAUUAUAUUUAUUGGGUUACUCGAGGAAUCUGUUGGUGACUUUCCAAGUUGGUGAAAGCCUGAUUAUUUUCUAUUGGUAAAACCAGAGAAUGAAAAGAGAAGAAAAUAUAUCUUUAUUCACGUUGGAGUUGCUUUAGUUUCACUUUCUUACAAGUCCAUGAACAUUAUUUUUGUGAUUCUUUUAUAAUUUUUUCCUCUCAAAGAUCUUUAUUUGAGGUAUCAAAUGGUGACCAAAGAAGAAGAUUGUCUUCCUCCUGGGACAGAGCCGUUGAGAUGUUAUUUUCCUUCUUCUACGACUCCUCUUGCGGAGCUAGAGACUAUUCAAAGCUUAGAAAUCCUGGAACCAUCCUUUCUCUCUCCUGCUUGGUAUAUCAUUAUUCUUUACUUACUCUUCAAUUUUGAGCUCUUCCCUUCACCACAAUCUAGAGAUAGUUGAAACCUUUUGCUAUGGUCUGACUGUAUCUUUCAGUUCAAUACGUUAUAAAAGUUAUUCUUUUGGUUUAGUUUAGGUUGGACAUUCAAACAGAUUCUUAUAGCUUUGCUCGAUCAUUUAUGUACGCCAGUUUGAUUUUUUUUUCCAGGUUGCUGGUGACUUUUUGCAUCUAGAAAUUAAAACUUUUUGUUUAGUUUACGGUGUGGUUCUUAUAUAUUCUUCUUUAUAUUGCGUACUGCUUUAAUAUAAUGAGGCAGUUGCAUCAUUUCUGAGGCGACACUUCAGCGGUCUGUGGGUCUCACUUUUAAAAAGUGUAAAAAAACGUUAAGACUGUGGCUCAAACCCGGGUUAUUGAAAUAUAAACAUCACCAUUUAUACCACUAAACUAAAGGAUACUUUGUACAUUGCUGGCCGAAACUAAUAUAUAUUUAUGAUAGGAGAGUUUACUCUGUACACAUAUGAUUUCGGUUUAAGUUCCAUAAAAAGCCCAAGUCGGGUGUAAGGCCAUUUGGCCAAUGUUUAGUUAUAUGGCCUAUUUUGAAAAAAAGUCUGACGUUUUAUGUUUUUGUCGAGGAAAGUGUGUCGUUUUUUAUUCGUAAACGAGUAACGAUUAGGUUUUCAGAGGUUUCUUCUUCUUCGACCCUUCAAUCUCACCAGCCCUGCUGCUUUUCCUAAUCCUGUGAAAAAACGAGUCUUAAUCAACUCUUUACCUUCCAACUCUUUUCAUAUCUAUUAAUUCUUUUCACUGUAUUCAACGUAUACCUCUUAAAUUUUACAAUAAAUGUUUUUUUUCAUUAAAGCCAUUUACGAUCUUAAACUCUCCUUCUCCCUUCUGAUACAAUGAAACCGAAAAAUUCACUUCAACCUCUAUAAAUUGGAGAAGGUUGAUAGCCGGAUGGAUAUUCACAGACGCUCUCAGUUUAUCUUCUAUCUUUAAUUGGAGAGGGAGCUGCUCAUCCUCGACGAACAGGUAUGAUUGAUUUUUCUGCAAUUUCCUUCCUACGAAGCCCAAAGAGAUCUAUCGAGUUGCUGAUCUGCGUUAACCAUUUGAUGAAUUCCAUCCCGAAUGAUCCCAAAACAAUCAACGUCUACCUCAAAACACCAGAUAAUGAGUAAACAGCGCCCAAUAGACCUCCACAACCUGAUGUAGAUGAUUGGAGGCCACUGAAGAAGAAGAAGCCUGCAACAAUGUCAGAGGAUGCUAAAGCAUUGAGCAUGAUUAGACAAAUGUUCAAGCACUGCUUCUAACUUUUCUCCUACGCUCACACCCAUUACAUUUUCAUUAGUUUUUUUCUCCUGCACUUAUGAGUUUUGUAUUGUUUUAAUGUCAGUACUGAUCGUUAUGUUGGACAUGGCUAUGAUAACCGAGACCUGGAUGCCUGCUUUGAUGAUAUCAUGAAGGAAGAGAGACGAAGUGCGAGAAUCGCAAGGGAGGAAGAUGAAAUGGAAGCAAAGCUGAUCGCAGAAGAAGAAGAGCGAGAGAGACAGAGAAAGUUGCUGAAGCUGAGGCGUAAGAAAGUUAGAAGAAACAAACCUUUUGAUCAUCUUUGUCUUCUUUUUUAAAUAUAUGACAAGUUUAAUCUUUAGUGCUUCUCUCAUUCAAAUCUCUUUGGAGAAUAGUGUGUUCUUGAAACUGUACAAUUAGAUAAUAAUUAUAUUUAUUGGGU